GCUAGCAUGGCCUAGUGGUUUGAGUGUUGGACUACGACUCUGGAGACCAGGGAUUGAAUCCCUGCUUGAUCA